GAUGAACGUUGGCGGCGUGCCUAACACAUGCAAGUCGAACGGCAAUAGCAAUAUUGGAGUGGCGCACGGGUGAGUAACACGUAGCUAAUCUACCUCAAAGCGCGGGAUAACGUGUCGAAAGACAGGCUAAUACCGCAUAAGCUCACGAUCUGCAGAGGACUGUGAGAAAAGGCUCUGGUCACUUUGAGAUGAGGCUGCGGCCCAUCAGCUAGUUGGUGCGGUAACGGCGUACCAAGGCGACGACGGGUAGGGGACCUGAGAGGGUGACCCCCCCACACUGGGACUGAGACACGGCCCAGACUCCUACGGGAGGCAGCAGUGAGGAAUAUUGCACAAUGGGCGAAAGCCUGAUGCAGCGACGCCGCGUGGGUGAAGAAGGUUUUCGGAUCGUAAAACCCUUUUCUGUGUGACGAGCAAGGACGGUAGCACAGGAAUAAGUCUCGGCUAACUACGUGCCAGCAGCCGCGGUAAU
rnacentral:rRNA from 1 species